rnacentral:misc_RNA from 1 species
GAAAUGCGAUAAGUAAUGUGAAUUGCAGAAUUCAGUGAAUCAUCGAAUCUUUGAACGCACCUUGCGCUCCUUGGUAUUCCUUGGAGCAUGCCUGUUUGAGUAUCAUGAAAUCUUCAAAGUAAAUCUUUUGUUAACUCAAUUGGUUUCUACUUUGGUAUUGGAGGUCUUUGCAGCUUCACACCUGCUCCUCUUUGUUCAUUAGCUGGAUCUCAGUGUUAUGCUUGGUUCCACUCGGCGUGAUAAGUUAUCUAUCGCUGAGGACACUGUAAAAGGUGGCCAAGGUAAAUGCAGAUGAACCCUUCUAAUAGUCCAUUGACUUGGACAAUACUUUUAUGAUCUGAUCUCAAAUCAGGUAGGACUACCCGCUGAACUUAAGC